UGCCCAGCAACUCCUAUCUCUACCUCCUCGCGGUCCUGGCCGAGGUACAAGCAACCUUAGGGAAGAUCAGAUAAUCAACCCCGAUGAAAACUCUAGUCGUAUGCUGACAGGGAAGG
rnacentral:ribozyme from 1 species